rnacentral:lncRNA from 10 species
UUAAUUUAUUACUGAGAAAAAAAUACUUUAAAGUAAAUUGAGUGUAGCCUAAGUAUGCACUGCUUAUAAAGCCUACAAUAGUGUACAGUAAUGUCCAGGUCUUCACAUUCACUCACGACUCACCCACUUCUCAGACCAACUUCCAGUCCUACAAGCUCCAUUCAUGGUAAGUGCCUUAUACAGGUGUUAGGGACAAACUGCCCCCAAAAAGCUUCUUGAAAUGUCUCCGUGCUGCCCUCCGCUCCCCACUCUGCAACUCCUUUCCAUGCCGCCCCACUCUUUCCCUCAAGCCUGUUUACAUUUCUAAGCCCUUAUCUGGGUGCCAGCAAACUUUGCGGUGAAGCCAGCAAACUUCACUUAUCAGACCCCGCUGCUGUGAGCAAACCCCAAUUACAAACUAUCCGGACCACACAGGGGGAGGUCGUGGGAAGCAUAAACAAACUUUACCCUCCUGUAAGUUCCUGCUAUCAUAAAUGUCACCAGGUGAUAUUUGGCAAAAUUAACCAGCAAACACCCCCAGGAUGCGGCCGUACCAAAAAACUCCCUCAAACUCCCUCCCCAGUAUAAACCCCUCAUUCUGUAAGCUUGGCGCUACCUCCUCUGAGUGUGGUGGAGUAGCCCGGCUGGUUCAACAAAGUUACUCGCCUGACUUUGGGUCUAUUCUUCCUUCCCUCGGCUGCCCUUACAUUCUGGUGCCGAAAGCCCGGAAGGGGAUAGACUCUGGCCGGGACUCACUCUCUCCUCUCUCUCCCUCCCCAUCACCGCUCUCCUGGCCAUUCUCACCUUUCCCCAACCUGCCGAAGACCCAGAGAAUCUCCUAGGUUCUCCCUUUGCUGGCGACCUCAUCCACCAUCAAAACCUCCGCCAGGGUCCUGGCUGAGUCAUCAUCCAUCACAGCAGGCUGGUACAACAUCACAGUGGAGGACAAUUCUCUAGGGACCACAGAGGAUAUGAAUGUGACCUGGGUUAGCAAAGGCCUCCCCAAGAAGCUGGAGCAGAGUGGGGCACCAGGAUCAGCCCCCAAUCCCUGGACCUUGGCUGUGAGCCUGCCUGAGCCUGAGCCAGUGCAAUGCCGGUCUUCUGUAUGUGGUCAGAAACUUCAGACACCAGAAAACUGUCACCUUAGAUGUUGGAAGAGUCUGUUGAGCUUAACAAAUUGCCAGCAAGGUGAGUGUGCCCAACUCUGGAGACACUUCUUUCCCAGGAGAUUGGGAAUGCAGUGUUUUGGUGCUCACCAUCUCCAGGAAACAUUCAACCUUCUCAGCAUGUAUUAGUUCAUUCUCACAUUGCUAUGAAGAAAUACCCUAGUCUGGGUAAUUUUUAAAGAAAAAAGGUUUAAUUGACUCACAGUUCCACAUGUCUGGAAAGCCUCAGGAAACUUACAAUCAUGGUAGAAGACUAAGGGAAAGAAAGACACCUUCUUCACAGGGUGGCUUGAAGGAGAAGUGCCAAGCAAAGGGGGGACAUCCCCUUAUAAACCAUCAGAUUCCAUGAGAACUCACUAUCAUGAGAACAGCAUGGGGGUAACUGCCCCUAUGAUUAAAUUACCUCGAACCAGGUCCCUCCCAUGACACAUGGGGUUUAUGAGAACUACAAUUCAAGAUGAGAUUUGGGAGGGGACACAGCCAAACCAUAUCACAGCCCCUAGGACCAUACAAGGUUGGGAGAUUCAGAGAAACCACAGUUGGCACACGUGUCAGGAAACUAUGUGGAAGGAGAGAAAUCAGGGUUUUCAAACAAGAAAAGAACGGUGAUACCAGGCACUUAUGUCUGCUCUGCUCUGAACAGCACUUGAAGAGCCAUUCAGUGAAUCAGGAGUCUUAUUUGUAAGGAGUAACCUCCAGUUGGAAACUAGUAUCAGAAGAAGAUAGAGGGAGGAAGGUUUUGACUCAUAUUAAAGACAGUUUUCUGUAGUCUGAGUCAUCCAAAAAAUAAAAAAUAAAUAAAUAAAAGCUUUGGGAAACAGUGAGGUUCCUGUCACUGGUGUAGUGUACACAGAGGCACAACCACUUGGUAGGGGUCCUAGAAGUGCAGGAGGAA